GCUGUAGCUCAGUGGGAGAGCAUCUGCCUUACAUGCAGAAGGUCCCAGGUUCAAUUCCUGACAUCUCCG